rnacentral:lncRNA from 10 species
GUACGUGGGCGGGCGGAUCGUGGUGGCUGCGCUUGCGAGGACCCUGAGGUAGAUUGGGUGGUUUCAACAGGAACGCAUCCACUGUCUGAGAGGUGGCAAUUGAAGCCGGAAGAACAUCUACCAAGAGCAGAGAACCCAGGAAGAAAAUUCUGCCUCUUUAAUACGUUCCAAUAUGGACGUUUUCCAUAUAGAUACCUAUCUAUAUAGAUAGAUGCUCUGGGAUCUGACGGUCCUGGACACCUGUAUGGCUGUGUGCUGUGGUCUUUGCCUAGCCUGCGGUUCACUUUUGCUCUGGCCACCACCUCCCCUCAUGUACAAACCGCGUCUCUGCUCUGCCAGUCUUGGCCCCCGUCAGGCAGCGGUUCACUCCCUCACCAGGGAAGUCUAGAUAGAUAGAUAUAGAUAGAUAUCGAUCGAUAGAUAUAGAUAUAUAUAUAGAUAGAUAGAUAGGUAGAUAUAUGGAUAGAUAUAGAUAUUUGGAUAGAUAUGUAGACGUCUAUCUAUAAAUAUAUCGAUAUAUCGGGGUUCUCAGCCAUCCCAAAGAAGCUUGCACAGGGCCAGUUGCUUUAUGUCAGGAAAAGGGACACAGACUGAGUGUAUGAGGGUUUUUUUUUUCUAUAGAUGUAUAGAUAUUUAUAUCAGAUGCAAAUAAGUGAAACUCUCAUACAACUUUUAAUUUUGUGUUUUUUCCAAACUCUAUUCCAUUCAACUUUUUCUGCCUUUUUAUUUGAUUAUAAUGAGACAUCGUACUGGAGGCAGGCUUGAAAUGGAUAUACAGAGCACUUUCAACCCAGAAAUUUGUCUCACGACUUGGGGUCCUUACUUAAGUUGUAGCUGUUAGUAAUUUCAUCCAUGAAUUCACUUUGUGCCAUAGUGUGAUGUUUUGUUAUGAAGUUGGAAUUGGGAAGGGAAACUAGGAAGUUUUGGGAGAAGUUAAGAAGGUUGAGUAGGCAGGCGUUGUUAUAGAUAUUAAAUUUCACCCUGCUUAUCAAAGUACCUGGAGCGUAUGGUAUCCAAGCUGUAAAUGGCCCAAAGGAAUCGGGGUUCUCAGCCAUCCAAAAGAAGCAUGCACAGGGCCAGUUAUUUUAUGUCAGGAAAGGGGACACAGACUGAGUGUAUGAGGGUUUUUUUUUUUGUUUUUUUUUUUUAGUUUAAACUUGAUUUUGUGAGGGGACGAACAGCGUGACAAUUAAAAGAAGAUCUGGGAAUCAAAAGCUUCCUGAGGCCUUCACCAGAAGCAGAUGCUGGUGCCGUGCUUCUACAGCCUGCAGAACUGAAGGACUUUACAGCUUCUCUUUCGCAUAUCCAAAUUGCCAGCAUCACCGCUCUUGCACUCCAAGCCAUUAUUAAGUAAAGUAAAGAACACAAACACUGUGAUACUGCUACACUUGAUCUGAUAACCAAGAAGUCUACUAAGUGACUAACAGUUAAUAUUUUUGGACAUGAGGUGACUGCAGUUAACUAAAACCAUGGAAAGCAAACCCAUAGAUAAAGGGAUACUAUGCAGAGCAACUGGGAACCUAAUUCUGACCAAAAAGGAGGAAUUGUUUGGCUAAUUGGAAGUGACAGAAACCUUGGGAGAAAGCAACCGCAUACCAAGGAUAAUUAUAAGAAGGUAACAUGGGCCCUAAAGGAUAGUGUCAAGAAACCUGAAACCCCCAAAUGAGGUGAGACUUGCAAAAAAUGCUAAGGAAGGACAAAAAACAGGCCUUUUAAAAUUCUGUUCAGAACCAGAAGAUGAUCAAGAAAGGGAAAUGCCCACUAGCAGCUUCUACUGUAAGGUUAGAGCUGACAGAGAAAGAACUCCUUAACUACUAUUUGCUUCAUUCUCUACAAAGGAAACUAGAGAAGUGGGUUGAUGUAAUAGAAAGAACAUGUGUUUGUGGGGCCAGGCAAACCUGGGUUUAAUUCUGUUUCAACACUGCUUAACAAAAUUUAUGGGAGGCUAUUGUUUUGGAUUGGGCUCCUGCACCAGGCCCCUCCGGACCAAACCAAAAUGGAGUCACUCAUACUAAAACUCCAGGUCACUGAACCAAAACUAAGUUGUUUAUCUGACCUUCCAAGAAAUCAGGAGGGAGAAAACAACCAAAUCUCCAAACAGGCCAGUUUUAAUCAGCGUGAUAAGGAAGUCCUCUCUUUUUUAACCCUAUAAAGAAAGUAACUUUUUGAAAUGAUCAAUACACUUUGUAUUCCUUAGUUCUGCUUUCUUUAGCCCCUUUCUGCCUAUAAAGCCCACUUCCUCUGCUCAACUUACUGAAGCAGUAUUCCAUUUUAUAGAAUGAGAUGCUGCCCAAUUCUGGAAUCACUAAUAAAAGCCAAUUAGAUCUUUACAUUUGUUGAAAUUUUGUCUUUGACAACAUUACUAGUUAUAUUAUUCUGGGUAUCCUUUUCCCCAUCUGUAAAAUGGACAUAGCGAUAUCCUUCCCAUCAGAUUUUUCUCAUUAAUAGAAGUAAUACAUUCAAAACACUGAGCCAGGCUCACACCAGUGAGCAACUUGUUAAUAUUACUCAGAAGCAUAUUAUAGAUAUUGACAGAAAGCAAUACUGUUCCUAAUUAGGGGAAGAAAUUCUAAGAGAGUACCUAAGAGUUUGAAUUUAGAUUAUAACAUUUGCUCUGAGUAUUUUACAUUACAGCCUUUGGGGGGAAAAGUACAAAUGAGAUCUGAGAACAGUGGUACUCAUCUUUGAGGAAUUAUGGAAAACGUAAUAGAACACUAAACAUGGGAAAACAUCGGCCUUCAGGUUGAAAAGUGGAAAUCUCAAUCCCUGAAUUUUUUUUUUUUUUUUACUAAGUAACUUUUUUGCCCAUUGGUGUCAUUUAACCAAAAGAAGAAGAAAUUCCAAAAAAAAAAAAAAUCAACUGAAACAAAAGAAUAGACUGAAUUUGCCAAAAGAGUGCUUAAAUGGAGACCUAAGUCUUCAAAGCUAAGGUGAUGAGAAAAGAACAGGUCUUAAAUUUCUUCAGAGCUUCAAGAGGCAAAGCUUGAAAGAAGAAAAAAUUUUAUUCUUAGGUAAGAUGUAGGGGUAGAAUGGUGGCCCCUGCAAAAGGUAAGCCUUCCUCCUAAUCCUAGAAUCGUGGAUGGUACCUUAUUUGGAUAAAAAGGUCUUUGCAGAUGUAAUUAAGAACCUUGAGAUGAGGAGAUCAUCCUGGAUUAUCUGGUGGACUGUAAAGUCAAUGACAUGUAUUCAUAUAUGACAGAAGAGAAGACAUGGAGAAGAGGAGGGAGUAGUUGUGACCGUGGAGGCAGAGAAUGGAGUAAUGUGAUCAUAAAUCAAGGAAUGCUGACAGCCACUAAAGCUGGAGAAGGCCAAGGACAGAUAUUCAAUCCUCCCGUAGAAGUACAGCCCUGCUAAUGCAUUGAUUUUGGACUUCUGGCCUCAGAACUGUAAGAGAAUAAAUUUCUAUUGUUUUAAGCCUUCAGUUUGUGGUAGUUUGUUACAGAAACCCUGUAAAGUUAAUACACAGAGUUCAAAGAGAAUCCGGUAAUAUCUCUAAAAGACUCGUGUAUUAGUCAGGAUUCUCCAGAGAAGCAAAGCCAAUAGAAUGAUACAUGUUGUUAAAGCAAAUUAAAAUGGAGACCAUGCCUGAAGAAUCUCUGUGCAGAGAAACCCAGUUAGGCCUCAUAAGUUAACCUUACUUGAUUUGCAAACAUAAUCUAAAAGUUAACUGGAGCUAUUUCCGGUAAAUGAAUAUAACACAACUUAAGCUCAAUCAGUCAGAAGCAGCUUUAUAAUUAUGUAGCUAGGGACUUUCCAAGAGGAUGACCAAAG